UCCGGCAUAGCUCAGUUGGUAGUAGCGCAUGACUGUUAAUCAUGAUGUCGUAGGUUCGAAUCUCUGCCGGAG
rnacentral:tRNA from 1 species